CCUGGUGGCCAUAGAGAGGCGGCUCCCACACGUUCCCAUCCCGAACACGACCGUGAAACGCCUCCUCGCCGAUGGUACUGCACUCCGUGUGCGGGAGAGUAGGUCGCUGCCAGGU
rnacentral:rRNA from 1 species